UUUCGCAAUGCCCGAAAGGGUGACGAAGCGACGCCGCGUGCGGGAGGAAGGCCUUCGGGUUGUAAACCGCUGUCGGGAGUUAAGAAAUGCAAGGAUGUUAAUAGCGUUCUUGCUUGACUAAGGCUCCGGAGGAAGCCACGGCUAACUCUGUGCCAGCAGCCGCGGUAAUACAGAGGCGGCAAGCGUUGUUCGGAAUUAUUGGGCGUAAAGAGCACGUAGGCGGCUGUGUAAGUCGGUUGUGAAAGCCUUCCGCUCAACGGAAGAACGGCAUCCGAUACUGCAUGGCUUGAGUGUGGGAGGGGGGAGUG
rnacentral:rRNA from 1 species